UUGGGCUGCACGGCCCAGGUAAGAAGUCUCAAUUAAGUGAGCUGGGGAGUUUCGCGGCCCGGGGAUGAUAGGCCAAAGAAAGAGGAGCUGCAACCCUCGCACAAGACGACCCAAAGGCAUGUCACCAUGGGGCACCACUCCAAAUGUAUACCAGCCAAGUGUGAAUGUUAGCUAUUCUGUCUUCUGCCCAGUGCACAGACACUCUGGCAAAAGGUCUGGUUCAGCCCUCUGAGUGGACGUAAUGUAUAAUACUGUCCAUUAUGUCAAGAGUAGAGAGAGCUGCAUAUCCUGUCUGAAAAUGCCCUGUUCUGCUAAUAAUACAAACCAUCUGCAACCUUAA
rnacentral:lncRNA from 1 species